GAUGAACGCUGGCGGCGUGCCUAAUACAUGCAAGUCGAGCGAACGGACGAGAAGCUUGCUUCUCUGAUGUUAGCGGCGGACGGGUGAGUAACACGUGGAUAACCUACCUAUAAGACUGGGAUAACUUCGGGAAACCGUAGCUAAUACCGGAUAAUAUUUUGAACCGCAUGGUUCAAAAGUGAAAGACGGUCUUGCUGUCACUUAUAGAUGGAUCCGCGCUGCAUUAGCUAGUUGGUAAGGUAACGGCUUACCAAGGCAACGAUGCAUAGCCGACCUGAGAGGGUGAUCGGCCACACUGGAACUGAGACACGGUCCAGACUCCUACGGGAGGCAGCAGUAGGGAAUCUUCCGCAAUGGGCGAAAGCCUGACGGAGCAACGCCGCGUGAGUGAUGAAGGUCUUCGGAUCGUAAAACUCUGUUAUUAGGGAAGAACAUGUGUGUAAGUAACUGUGCACAUCUUGACGGUACCUAAUCAGAAAGCCACGGCUAACUAC
rnacentral:rRNA from 1 species